UGACCUACGGGAGGCAGCAGUCGAGAAUCAUUCACAAUGGGGGAAACCCUGAUGGUGCGACGCCGCGUGGGGGAAUGAAGGUCUUCGGAUUGUAAACCCCUGUCAUGUGGGAGCAAAUUAAAAAGAUAGUACCACAAGAGGAAGAGACGGCUAACUCUGUGCCAGCAGCCGCGGUAAUACAGAGGUCUCAGGCGUUGCUCGGAAUCACUGGGCGUAAAGCGUGCGUAGGCUGUUUCGGAAGUCGUGUGUGAAAGGCGCGGGCUCAAACCGCGGACGGCACAUGAUGCUGCGAGACUAGA
rnacentral:rRNA from 1 species